ACCCAAUAGAUACCCUGGUAGUCCACGCUGUAAACGAUGAGAACUAGGUUUCGCGGGUCUUGACCCCUGCGGAGCCGGAGCUAAACGCAAUAAGUUCUCCGCCUGGGGAGUACGGUCGCAAGACUAAAACUCAAAGGAAUUGACGGGGGCCCGGCACAAGCGGUGGAUCAUGUGGUUUAAUUCGAAGCAACGCGAAGAACCUUACCUGGGUUUGACAUCCUCUGACAUCCGUAGAGAUACGGCUUUCGUAGCAAUACGACAGAGAGACAGGUGCUGCAUGGCUGUCGUCAGCUCGUGUGGUGACAUGUUGGGUUAAGUCCCGCAACGAGCGCAACCCCUAUUGUUAGUUGCCAGCAUUCAUUGGGGCACUCUAACGAGACUGCCGUGGUUAACACGGAGAAGGUGGGAUGACGUCAAGUCCUCAUGGCCCUUAUGCCCAGGGCGACACACGUGAUAC
rnacentral:rRNA from 1 species